rnacentral:lncRNA from 1 species
GGUUUUAAGGAUUCAGUACUUUGUGUGCCCGUGUUGUCGAUUGUCACCAACACAUGAGGAAACACAACUACUUCCCCCUUCUUCCCUAUUGUUAAAUCUGUGUUUGUUUAUGUUGCAAUCGCAUGAGGUCAGAAACAUAACAUGAUCAGUGUAUGUUCAUAUGCAUGUAUUCAUCAGAUCAUGCUUGACUUGACUACUCAUCACUAUCAAUGUUACAAAUAUUUUUGUGGAUUUCCGAGCGUGAGGGAAUUCCCAUCGUGUGCUCAAUUUCAUGAUCCGUUGGAUUUGGCUCUGCUCCUUUAUGCUAAUAAAGGGUCUCUCUUCUUACAUAUACUCAUAAUCUAUGUAUAAAUUUAAUACUAGAUUUUUGUCAAAUGACCCUCAAGAAGAAAGAAAGCCUUCAGUGAACAUUUGAAGCGUGGGAUUCUGGCUUUUUAGCAUGGAAAUAGUCAGCACUGCAUGGUUUCAAUGUUGUCAGCAACCAGC